UCCACGUGUGCAGGGCGCCCACCCUGCAGGGCAGAGGGGAGCUGCGUCCUCGGCGCUGCAGCCGGGGCAGAGCCUGCGCUGCUCGGCAUGGGGCGGCUCCACUCCCACCUUCCUCCCCCCUGGGUGUUUCUGACGGUUGUAGCAGCCUGGUUCUUCCAUUUGGGGUCUGUGAAAUGGUUCUUCAUUACGUCCGUCCUGCUUUCUAUCAGUUGGGUAAAAUGAGAGCUUGAGGAAGAUGCAGGGCGCCAGAGGGAGGAACACAGAGCCCAGCCUGAGGCUGGCAGCCGGGGAAGGGCUGCAGGGAGCAGCGCUGGGGGAGGUGAGGAAACCCCAUUGCCCAGUGCUGGGAGUGAGGAAACCCCAUUGCCCAGUGCUGGGAGUGAGGGAACCCCAUUGCCCAGUGCUGGGAGUGAGGGAACCCCAUUGCCCAGUGCUGGGGGUGAGGAAACCCCAUUGCCCAGUGCUGGGAGUGAGGGAACCCCAUUGCCCAGUGCUG